rnacentral:lncRNA from 1 species
AUGCAUGUGGGACAGGGCCGGGAACAGAGAAGAGGCUCUGCGGAAGACAGGAGAAAGGGAAAGGGGAACGGCGCUGUGCUUUGUGGAGCAAUAGUGGAGAUAGUGCAGCUUUCCAGGACACAAGGAGAGAAAACAAAUCAGAAAAUGGGGACAGGGUGGAUAGCAAGCAUAGACAAUGGAGUAGGUACAGUUUAUGAACCUAAGGGCACUGUCUGGGGCAAAGCCACAUCCCCUGCUGUCCUGUCCAGGCGUAGCAACAGUAGAAAGUUAACUGUGUUCAAUGAAG